UACGGAGGAUGCGAGCGUUAUCCGGAUUUAUUGGGUUUAAAGGGUGCGUAGGCGGAUCGUUAAGUCAGUGGUCAAAUUGAGGGGCUCAACCCCUUCCCGCCAUUGAAACUGGCGAUCUUGAGUGGAAGAGAAGUAUGCGGAAUGCGUGGUGUAGCGGUGAAAUGCAUAGAUAUCACGCAGAACCCCGAUUGCGAAGGCAGCAUGCCGGCUUCCUACUGACGCUGAAGCACGGAAGCGUGGGGAUCGAACAGG
rnacentral:rRNA from 1 species